rnacentral:rRNA from 1 species
GACGAACGCUGGCGGCGUGCCUAAUACAUGCAAGUCGAGCGAACAGAUGAGGAGCUUGCUCCUCUGACGUUAGCGGCGGACGGGUGAGUAACACGUGGGCAACCUGCCCUUAAGACUGGGAUAACUCCGGGAAACCGGGGCUAAUACCGGAUAAUUGAAAGAACCUCCUGGUUCUUUUAUGAAAGGCGGCUUCGGCUGUCACUUAAGGAUGGGCCCGCGGCGCAUUAGCUAGUUGGUGAGGUAACGGCUCACCAAGGCAACGAUGCGUAGCCGACCUGAGAGGGUGAUCGGCCACACUGGGACUGAGACACGGCCCAGACUCCUACGGGAGGCAGCAGUAGGGAAUCUUCCGCAAUGGACGAAAGUCUGACGGAGCAACGCCGCGUGAGUGAAGAAGGUUUUCGGAUCGUAAAGCUCUGUUGUCAGGGAAGAACAAGUACCAUAGUAACUGAUGGUACCUUGACGGUACCUGACCAGAAAGCCACGGCUAACUACGUGCCAGCCGCCGCCGUAACAC